rnacentral:rRNA from 1 species
GAUUUCUGGUGUGGUGCGCCGAGCCCGCCCCUUUAUUGGGGGUGAGUGCUUGUUGCGCGCCUACCAUACUUCAGGAGAGCCCCGCUUGGGUCCUUCACUGGAUCCGAGUGGUUUCGGCCAUCCUGAUCGUUUACUUUGAAAAAAUUAGAGUGUUUAAAGCAGGCAUGAUCGCUAUGAAUACAUUAGCAUGGAAUAAUAAGAUAGGACUUUGGUUCUAUUUUGUUGGUUUCUAGGACUAAAGUAAUGAUUGAUAGGGACAGUUGGGGGUGCUAGUAUUUAACGGCCAGAGGUGAAAUUCUUGGAUUCGUUAAAGACUAACUUAUGCGAAAGCAUU